AGCGAACGCUGGCGGCAGGCUUAACACAUGCAAGUCGAGCGGGCACUUUCGGGUGUCAGCGGCGGACGGGUGAGUAACGCGUGGGAACGUGCCCUCUGGUUCGGAAUAACUCAGGGAAACUUGAGCUAAUACCGGAUACGCCCUUUUGGGGAAAGGCUUGCUGCCGGAGGAUCGGCCCGCGUAUGAUUAGCUAGUUGGUGAGGUAACGGCUCACCAAGGCGACGAUCAGUAGCUGGUCUGAGAGGAUGAUCAGCCACACUGGGACUGAGACACGGCCCAGACUCCUACGGGAGGCAGCAGUGGGGAAUAUUGGACAAUGGGCGCAAGCCUGAUCCAGCCAUGCCGCGUGAGUGAUGAAGGCCUUAGGGUUGUAAAGCUCUUUUAUCCGGGACGAUAAUGACGGUACCGGAGGAAUAAGCCCCGGCUAACUUCGUG
rnacentral:rRNA from 1 species